rnacentral:rRNA from 1 species
GAUGAACGCUGGCGGCGUGCCUAAUACAUGCAAGUCGAGCGAACAGACGAGGAGCUUGCUCCUUUGCCGUUAGCGGCGGACGGGUGAGUAACACGUGGAUAACCUACCUCUUAGACUGGGAUAACUUCGGGAAACCGGAGCUAAUACUGGAUAAUAUAUUGAACCGCAUGGUUCAAUAGUGAAAGAGGGUUUUGCCGUCACUUUUAGAUGGUUCCGCGCCGCAUUAGCUAGUUGGUAAGGUAACGGCUUACCAAGGCAACGAUGCGUAGCUGACCUGAGAGGGUGAUCAGCCACACUGGAACUGAGACACGGUCCAGACUCCUACGGGAGGCAGCAGUAGGGAAUAUUCCGCAAUGGGCGAAAGCCUGACGGAGCAACGCCGCGUGAGUGAUGAAGGUCUUCGGAUCGUAAAACUCUGUUGUUAGGAAAGAACAAAAGUGUGAGUAACUAUGGACGUCUUGACGGUACCUAAACAAAAAGCCACGGCUAACUACGUG